rnacentral:rRNA from 1 species
AUUGAACGCUGGCGGCAUGCUUUACACAUGCAAGUCGAACGGUAACAGGUUAAGCUGACGAGUGGCGAACGGGUGAGUAAUGCAUCGGAACGUGCCCGGUCGUGGGGGAUAACGCAGCGAAAGCUGCGCUAAUACCGCAUACGAUCUGAGGAUGAAAGCGGGGGACCGUAAGGCCUCGCGCGAUCGGACCGGCCGAUGUCAGAUUAGGUAGUUGGUGGGGUUAUGGCUCACCAAGCCAACGAUCUGUAGCUGGUCUGAGAGGACGACCAGCCACACUGGGACUGAGACACGGCCCAGACUCCUACGGGAGGCAGCAGUGGGGAAUUUUGGACAAUGGGCGAAAGCCUGAUCCAGCAAUGCCGCGUGCAGGAAGAAGGCCUUCGGGUUGUAAACUGCUUUUGUACGGAGCGAAAAGGUCUCCUCUAAUACAGGGGGCUCAUGACGGUACCGUAAGAAUAAGCACCGGCUAACUACGUGCCAGCCGCCGCAGUAA